CAAUAGCGUAUAUUAAAGCUGUUGCGGUUAAAAAGCUCGUAGUUGGAUUUCUGUCAAGGACAACUGGUCCGCCCCUCGGGUGAGCACAUAGUUUGGUCUUGGCAUCUUGUUGGAAACUGUUGCUGCACUUGGUUGUGUGGCGCAGUGUCCAGCACUUUCACUUUGAGGAAAUUGGAGUGUUUCAAGCAGGCACAUGCCUUUGGACACAGUAGCAUGGAAUAAUUAGAUUGGGCUUUUGCUCCAACUUGUCGGUUUCUGGAGCUGAGGUGAGAAUUAAUGGGGAUUGUUGGGGGCAUCCGAAUUUAGCCGUCAGAGGUGAAAUUCUUGGAUCUGCUAAAGACGGACAACUGCGAAAGCGUUUGCCCAGGAUGUUUACAUUGA
rnacentral:rRNA from 1 species